AGAGUUUGAUCAUGGCUCAGAACGAACGCUGGCGGCAGGCCUAACACAUGCAAGUCGAGCGAAGUCUUCGGACUUAGCGGCGAACGGGUGAGUAACGCGUGGGAACGUGCCUUUCAGUGCGGAAUAGCCUAGGGAAACUUGGAUUAAUACCGCAUACGCCCUCCGGGGGAAAGAUUUAUCGCUGAAAGAUCGGCCCGCGUCUGAUUAGGUUGUUGGUGAGGUAACGGCUCACCAAGCCUACGAUCAGUAGCUGGUUUGAGAGGAUGAUCAGCCACACUGGGACUGAGAUACGGCCCAGACUCCUGCGGGAGGCAGCAGUGGGGAAUCUUGGACAAUGGGGGCAACCAUGAUCCAGCCAUC
rnacentral:rRNA from 1 species